AGAGUUUGAUCCUGGCUCAGAUUGAACGCUAGCGGGAUGCCUUACACAUGCAAGUCGAACGGCAGCACGGACUUCGGUCUGGUGGCGAGUGGCGAACGGGUGAGUAAUGUAUCGGAACGUGCCCAGUAGCGGGGGAUAACUACGCGAAAGCGUAGCUAAUACCGCAUACGCCCUACGGGGGAAAGCAGGGGAUCUUCGGACCUUGCACUAUUGGAGCGGCCGAUAUCGGAUUAGCUAGUUGGUGGGGUAACGGCCUAUCAAGGCGACGAUCCGUAGCUGGUUUGAGAGGACGACCAGCCACACUGGGACUGAGACACGGCCCAGACUCCUACGGGAGGCAGCAGUGGGGAAUUUUGGACAAUGGGGGAAACCCUGAUCCAGCCAUCCCGCGUGUGCGAUGAAGGCCUUCGGGUUGUAAAGCACUUUUGGCAGGAAAGAAACGUCGCGGGCUAAUACCUCGCGAAACUGACGGUACCUGCAGAAUAAGCACCGGCUAACUACGUGCCAGCAGCCGCGGUAAUACGUAGGGUGCAAGCGUUAAUCGGAAUUACUGGGCGUAAAGCGUGCGCAGGCGGUUCGGAAAGAAAGAUGUGAAAUCCCAGAGCUUAACUUUGGAACUGCAUUUUUAACUACCGGGCUAGAGUGUGUCAGAGGGAGGUGGAAUUCCGCGUGUAGCAGUGAAAUGCGUAGAUAUGCGGAGGAACACCGAUGGCGAAGGCAGCCUCCUGNGAUACACUGACGCUCAUGCACGAAAGCGUGGGGAGCAAACAGGAAUAGAUACCCUGGUAGUCCACGCCCUAACGAUGUCAACUAGCUGUGGGGCCUUCGGCCUUGGUAGCGCAGCUAACGCGUGAAGUUGACCGCCUGGGGAGUACGGUCGCAAGAUUAAAACUCAAAGGAAUUGACGGGGACCCGCACAAGCGGUGGAUGAUGUGGAUUAAUUCGAUGCAACGCGAAAAACCUUACCUACCCUUGACAUGUCUGGAAUGCCGAAGAGAUUUGGCAGUGCUCGCAAGAGAACCGGAACACAGGUGCUGCAUGGCUGUCGUCAGCUCGUGUCGUGAGAUGUUGGGUUAAGUCCCGCAACGAGCGCAACCCUUGUCAUUAGUUGCUACGAAAGGGCACUCUAAUGAGACUGCCGGUGACAAACCGGAGGAAGGUGGGGAUGACGUCAAGUCCUCAUGGCCCUUAUGGGUAGGGCUUCACACGUCAUACAAUGGUCGGGACAGAGGGUCGCCAACCCGCGAGGGGGAGCUAAUCCCAGAAACCCGAUCGUAGUCCGGAUCGCAGUCUGCAACUCGACUGCGUGGAGUCGGAAUCGCUAGUAAUCGCGGAUCAGCAUGUCGCGGUGAAUACGUUCCCGGGUCUUGUACACACCGCCCGUCACACCAUGGGAGUGGGUUUUACCAGAAGUAGUUAGCCUAACCGCAAGGAGGGCGAUUACCACGGUAGGAUUCAUGACUGGGGUGAAGUCGUAACAAGGUAGCCGUAUCGGAAGGUGCGGCUGGAUCACCUCCUU
rnacentral:rRNA from 1 species